GCUGGUAGCUGAUUCGGAGGUCGGCCUGACGACCGUCGCCGACCGUGCCAAGCUGGGCGGAACGCAUCCCCCGGACGCCACGCGAGCUAGACCAGUCUAGGCCGUGUCGUCCGCCCGGGACCACGUUUGCCUGACCUAUAGCCGGAGUUUGGGGACCGGACGACAAGGCCAAGGCAGGUAACCAGGCUGUGCCGUUUGACCCCUCUCCCAGACCGGUGUCAUACCCGUGUGGGCACAUAACCUCAUACUGUGAUGUAAUCACUCCGUUCUCCAUGAACUACCAUCCCACAGGCCCCAUGCAGCCUGGUCCCCAUGCAAUCCCCCUCCCCUCCCGCCUCCUCUCGCUCACCCUCCAGCGCAAUGCCGC
rnacentral:lncRNA from 1 species